rnacentral:rRNA from 1 species
AACGAACGCUGGCGGCAUGCCUAACACAUGCAAGUCGAACGAGACCUUCGGGUCUAGUGGCGCACGGGUGCGUAACGCGUGGGAACCUGCCCUUAGGUUCGGAAUAACUCCCCGAAAGGGGUGCUAAUACCGGAUAAUGUCUUCGGACCAAAGAUUUAUCGCCUUUGGAUGGGCCCGCGUUGGAUUAGCUAGUUGGUAGGGUAAAAGCCUACCAAGGCGACGAUCCAUAGCUGGUCUGAGAGGAUGAUCAGCCACACUGGGACUGAGACACGGCCCGGACGCAGACGGGAGGGAGCAGUGGGGAAGAGUGGACAGGGGGCGAAAGCCGCACCCACCAAUGCGGGGUGAGGGAUGAAGGGUUGAGGGUUGAAAAGCUCUUUUACCCGGGGUGAGAGGGACAGAACGGGAAAAAUAAGCCCCGGCUAACUCCG